AGACUUUUCAAGAACAGCAUCGUGUCAUACCGAAAAAAACAAGGCUCAAGCGAAGAAAAAGCAGGAUGCAGAUAAUUAAGAGGUUCGGAUUAUCAGCGGUUGCGAAUCGUGUGGAAUAUUAUGUCACGGGUGAUUGCGAGACGAAAUUAAUAAAUCAGCGUGAUUGUUGUACCAACAGCGGAUGCGUAGCUCUAAAUUGCAAUCUACACACUUAGAUUGCAAUUAUUCCGCUCGGGAUAAUGAUCUUUCGAACCACAGGGAAAUUACUCAAUUUUCGCGAAAUUCGGACGAAACCCCACCUGAAUCUCGUGACACUUCAUUUCUCCUGAAAUUUAGGAUGACAUCCCUACGAGCGCACAGGAACUUGAACUAUUCCAGUGAAUUCGGGACAAUGUUGCUCUGUAUCACGAUAGACACAUUCCUUUUCAAAUUUUCUUCCUCUUUCUAGCCUGUAUCAAAAAACAAAAAGAUUUUCUGUCUCAUUUUCAACAGUGCAUAAAUUUUUAACCGCCGAACAUCUCAACCACUUUUUUUUGCCUUAAAUGUUCGUUGUAAUUUUCCGGCCGUUGAUGUUCGCGCAGAUUAUUUUAUUACUGAAAUUUUAGACAAGCACGAGUGGAGAACGGUAAAUAUUUAGAAAAUAAAGAUCCAUGGAAUUCAAAUUUAAUUCCCAUAAGCAAACAGCUCAUUCAACACAACAGGCGACAAUUCAAUGCACAAUGCAUCUGAAGGUACUUCCCAAAAAAGCCGUAAAGCAUUAUCAGCAGCAUACCAACCAAACCGCAGUAGAGUCCGGAGAUGCCAGGUGUAAUUGUUCCGCCACCACCACCGCCAAUGUUCUGGCAAUUAGGCCUAACCGAAGUGCUCCUGUUAAAGGAUUCCGUUACUGGUUAACAGUCAGCAACAAGCAACAACAACGUCGACUUCAUCGCCGCUGGUAUUCUCGCAGGUUUUCUAGGCAGCAUCGUUCCGGAAAAUCAUUCUGCAGGACAAACCACCUUCCGAUUCAGUAUUAAGGCAAGUGCAGUAAUUUUUAAAGUUCACAAGAGCGGUCUGUGUUGUAUGGUAUAAACAAAUCUUGUAAAAUAAAUGGUUUAUUUUAGGAAAAAACAAUAUUUUUUUGUAACACAAACAAUAAAAAUAAAAAUUUGGAAUUCCAAUCUAGGGGAAAAAAAUUCAGAGCUUUCUGCUAACCUCGGUAGGAAACCGUU